GAAACGAUAUGAUGAUAUAGUAUUGU
rnacentral:sRNA from 1 species